AGGGGGCAGGGCCGCCCGAACCCGGAAGCGGAGCAGCCCACGUGGGGUUCGGGAAGGGGCGAUUACUCAAUUCUAGGCUAUGUUCGAGCAGGGAGUCUAGGCUGUUCGUUCCUCUGUCUAAGGAGGCAGGGUGGGGGCUGCUGUGGGGUCCCCUUAACCCGUGUUUGGGGCCGGGGAGUGGACCCCGUCGGCAGUGACCGCUUCUGAGGACGCAGCAGGGGCCAUCGGCCAUGGCGCUGCUCUCGGCCCUCCGGGGCGCGACCUGGCGUUGCUCCGGUCACCUCCUAGCGCGUCAUUUUUCCCAAGCGGCGCGGCGCGGGCAGCAGCCCGGUGGGGAGUGGCUAAGUCACCUGAGACUGGAUGACCUGGCGCCGACUCCGCGGUCCGCCGGGGGACUAGAACUUCUGUUUGGCCUGUUCCCGUGUCUCCUGGCUCUGCGGGCCGCCCGCCGCCGCGUGUCCCGGCUGCUGCUCCAGGCCGGCAGGUCCGGGCUGCAAGGGGAGCGGGCGGAGCUGCUCCGCGUGGCCGAGGCACGGGACAUCCCUGUUCUGCGUCUCAGACGACAGAAGCUGGACGCUCUCUGCCGCUACCAGGUCCACCAGGGCGUCUGCAUGGAGGUGAGCCCUCUGCGGCCCCGGCCCUGGACCGAGGCUGGGGAGGCGAGGCCAGGAGGCGACCCCCAGCAGCUGUGGCUCGUCCUCGAGGGGCUCCAGGAUCCCCGGAACCUUGGGGCUGUGCUGCGCUCCGCUCACUUCCUCGGAGUGGAUAAGCUCAUCAUCAGCCAGAGAAACAGCUGCCCGCUCACGCCGAUAGUCAGCAAGGCCAGCGCGGGGGCUGUGGAGGUGAUGGACGUGUUCUCCACUGAUGACUUGGAAGGCUUUUUACAGGCCAAAGCCCAGCAGGGCUGGCUCGUAGCUGGCACAGUGGGCUGCCCUGGGCCUGGGAUUUCCCAGUCCUCUGAGAUCCCCAUCACGAGUUGCUUGGAGUUCCUCUGGGACCGGCCUACUCUCCUAGUGCUUGGGAGCGAGGGCUCAGGCCUGUCCCAGGAGGUGCAGGCCUCCUGCCAGCUUCUCCUUACCAUCCUGCCUGGAAGACAGCUGCCUCCUGGACUGGAGUCUUUGAAUGUCUCUGUGGCUGCGGGAAUUAUUCUUCAUUCCAUUUGCAGCCAGAGGAAAGGUUUUGUAGGAGAUGGGAAGAGAGAGCAAAUUCACCAAGACUCCCAAGAGCCCUCAGCCACAUCCGAAGGGCCCAGAGUGGCUCAGCACCCAGGACAGUCUUCAGGAUCAGAAAAAGAGAAAGAGAGUUCCUCCAUUAGGUGGCAGCCUUGCUCUUUGGUCCACAGUCUCUUUGAGAAGCUCUCGCAGCCACCUGGGGGAGAUUCCUGGCUGUGGCCCCCAGGAGGCAAGGGAAAGAUUAGCCAACGCCCACCCGGACCCCGCUCAGCCCACCUGUGGCCCUCCAGUCCCCCAUGCCCCGACCAGUGAGUCUUCGGUGGGUCCACUUCCAUGGAAGGAACCAAAGAACAGCCCUGGCCUUUGAUUCUGGGAGGUGUGAGGACAUGGUUGCUGCUACACCAUCCAUACUGAUUUGGCGCUCCUCCCUCAGGGUCCCACAAACGGAGCAGAAGCCACCAGUAAAGGAAGAAACCCCUUCAUAAACUCCAUAGAUCACCACCACAUCAGUCACUUGGAGCUGUUUGUUCCUGACUGGCACACAGGCUGACUUCCACUGGCACGUGUCAACCUUGGGCGACUACGCUGCUUCCUCCAUCCCUGCCACACUCUUGGCUAAGAACCUAGUGUGGUUUUGAACCUUGGCUGCACCUUAGAGUCAUGGGGUCAGGGAGGGGAAUAGCUUUUAAUAUUCCAGAUGCCCAGAGGCACCAGGCCGAUGAAAGCAGAAUCUCUGGAGAAGGAGCCAGGCGCAGGCAUUUCUUAGAGCUCCCCAGAUGCUGGUGUCCAGCCACGUCUGAGAAUCACUGGCCCUGGAGCCACCCGCUCUUGUCCAAGAAAUGUCCUCCAAAUCAUUCACACCCGUGCUUUUGAGCACAUGCCUGAAAGCACACACCAGGCAACCUUUCAUCCGUCCGUAAGGUUCUUUAGAAGAUGCUGGUUCCAGCCCUGGCUCCACGGCUUCCUACCUAGAUGGUGUCUCAUCUAUAGAAUGGGGAUACUGCCAUUAAUACCUGCUCCACCUACCCCCUCCACAACAGGGCAGUUGUAAAAAUAAAACGAGAGCAUAUCAGUAAAAAGUAUCUGAAAACUAAAGGACUGUGCACCCAGGACUAGCACACAAUAAUCCAAACCUGGAUGUGAUGGUUCGGUUUAUGUGUCAAUUUGAUUGGGGCAUGGGGUGCCCUGAUACUUGGUCAGACAUUCUGGGGGCGUGUGCGAGGGUGUUUUGGAUAAAGUUAACAUUUACAUUGGAAGACUGAGCAAAGCAGAUUGCCCUCCCUAGUGUAGAUGGGACUCAUUCAAUCGUUUGAAGGCCUGAGUGGAAUAAAAAGCCUGACUGGUAAGAAUCCAGUCCUGCCUUUGGAACUAAAACAAGGGCUCAUCCUGGGUCUCCAGUCUGCUGGCUUUCAGAUGGGAACACUAUUUGCUCUCCUGGGUCUCCAGCUUACAGACUCAUCCUGUAGAACUUGGGACUUGCCAGCUUCCAUAAUUGCAUGAGCCAAUUCUCUAUGAUAAAUAAACCAGUAUGUCAGUAUGUA